rnacentral:rRNA from 1 species
UACCAGCACCCCGAGUGGUCGGGACGUUUAUGGCCUAAAGCAUCCGUAGCCGGUUCUACAAGUCUUCCGUUAAAUCCACCUGACUUAACAGAUGGGCUGCGGAAAGAUACUAUAGAGCUAGGAGGCGGGGAGAGGCAAGCGGGUACGUCGAUGGGUAGGGGUAAAAUCCGUUGAUCCAUUGAAGACCACCAGUGGCGAAGGCG